CUGGGAGAUAGCCCACCGAGAGGUGGACUAAUAUCCCAUAGUAUAUUUGAAUGGCAUCAUUUAGAUAUUAAAGCUCCGGCGGUUAAAGAUGGGCGUGCGCCUGAUUAGGUAGUUGGCGGGGUAACGGCCCACCAAGCCCACGAUCAGUAGCUGAUGUGAGAGCAUGAUCAGCCACACGGGCACUGAGACACGGGCCCGACUCCUACGGGAGGCAGCAGUAAGGAAUAUUGGUCAAUGGACGCAAGUCUGAACCAGCCAUGCCGCGUGGAGGAUGAAGGCCCUCUGGGUUGUAAACUUCUUUUCUUUGGGACGAAACCCCUGUUUCUACGGGGACUGACGGUACCAGAGGAAUAAGCACCGGCUAACUCCGUG
rnacentral:rRNA from 1 species